rnacentral:rRNA from 1 species
GACGAACGCUGGCGGCAUGCCUAACACAUGCGAGUCGAACGAAACCUUCGGGUUUAGUGGCUCCCGGGUGCGUAAAGCGUGGGAUAAUGCCCUUAUGUUCUGAAUAUCUCCCCGAGAGGGCUGCUAAUAACGGAUAAUAUUUUCGGACCAAAGAUGUUGCGGCUUGGGGUGGGCUCGCGUUGGAUUAGCUAGUUGGUUGGGUAAACGCCUACUAAGGCGGGGAUCCAUAGCUGGUCUGAGAGGAUGAUCAGCCACACUGGGACUGAGACACGGCCCAGACUGCUAGGGGAGGCAGCAGUGGGGAAUAUAGGAGAAGGGGCGAAAGCCUGAUCCAGCAAGGCCGGGAGAGUGAUGAAGGGGUUGGGGUUGUAAAGCGCUUUUAACCGGGAUGAGAGUGACAGUACCGGGUGAAUAAGCACCGGCUAACUACGUG